AACCCUGCGAGGUGUUGUGAGAAGGAAGCCCGAGCGCAAAACUGCAAGCUUACGUACAGAAACAUCAUAGAAGGCUGAGUCUCAGGGGUGAGUUAGCCAAAGAUAACGAAACCCAUAGGUUCGCGAGAUACAGUAAAUGAUGAGGUUGUGCAGUGAAAGUUCACGUU
rfam:Methanotrophic endosymbiont of Bathymodiolus azoricus (Menez Gwen) isolate BAZMOX genome assembly, contig: contig04471